rnacentral:rRNA from 1 species
GACGAACGCUGGCGGCGUGCUUAACACAUGCAAGUCGAACGGAAAGGCCCUGCUUUUGUGGGGUGCUCGAGUGGCGAACGGGUGAGUAACACGUGAGUAACCUGCCCUUGACUUUGGGAUAACUUCAGGAAACUGGGGCUAAUACCGGAUAGGAGCUCCUGCUGCAUGGUGGGGGUCGGAAAGUUUCGGCGGUUGGGGAUGGACUCGCGGCUUAUCAGCUUGUUGGUGGGGUAGUGGCUUACCAAGGCUUUGACGGGUAGCCGGCCUGAGAGGGUGACCGGCCACAUUGGGACUGAGAUACGGCCCAGACUCCUACGGGAGGCAGCAGUGGGGAAUAUUGCACAAUGGGCGGAAGCCUGAUGCAGCAACGCCGCGUGCGGGAUGACGGCCUUCGGGUUGUAAACCGCUUUCGCCUGUGACGAAGCGUGAGUGACGGUAAUGGGUAAAGAAGCACCGGCUAACUACGUGCCAGCAGCCGCGGUGAUACGUAGGGUGCGAGCGUUGUCCGGAUUUAUUGGGCGUAAAGGGCUCGUAGGUGGUUGAUCGCGUCGGAAGUGUAAUCUUGGGGCUUAACCCCUGAGCGUGCUUUCGAUACGGGUUGACUUGAGGAAGGUAGGGGAGAAUGGAAUUCCUGGUGGAGCGGUGGAAUGCGCAGAUAUCAGGAGGAACACCAGUGGCGAAGGCGGUUCUCUGGGCCUUUCCUGACGCUGAGGAGCGAAAGCGUGGGGAGCGAACAGGCUUAGAUACCCUGGUAGUCCACGCUGUAAACGGUGGGUACUAGGUGUGGGGUCCAUUCCACGGGUUCCGUGCCGUAGCUAACGCUUUAAGUACCCCGCCUGGGGAGUACGGUCGCAAGGCUAAAACUCAAAGGAAUUGACGGGGCCCCGCACAAGCGGCGGAGCAUGCGGAUUAAUUCGAUGCAACGCGUAGAACCUUACCUGGGUUUGACAUGGAUCGGGAGUGCUCAGAGAUGGGUGUGCCUCUUUUGGGGUCGGUUCACAGGUGGUGCAUGGCUGUCGUCAGCUAGUGUCGUGAGAUGUUGGGUUAAGUCCCGCAACGAGCGCAACCCUUGUUCACUGUUGCCAGCACGUUAUGGUGGGGACUCAGUGGAGACCGCCGGGGUCAACUCGGAGGAAGGUGGGGAUGACGUCAAGUCAUCAUGCCCCUUAUGUCCAGGGCUUCACGCAUGCUACAAUGGCUGGUACAGAGAGUGGCGAGCCUGUGAGGGUGAGCGAAUCUCGGAAAGCCGGUCUCAGUUCGGAUUGGGGUCUGCAACUCGACCUCAUGAAGUCGGAGUCGCUAGUAAUCGCAGAUCAGCAACGCUGCGGUGAAUACGUUCCCGGGGCU